rnacentral:lncRNA from 1 species
GUGACUCCCCCUCCUUCCACCACCUUGUCCGCCACAAACUUUGCAUCUCAUUUCACUGAGAAGAUCUCUACAAUCAGGAAAGAGAUCUCUAAUCUUUCUCCGACCAGUAUCAAUACAUCACCCAACCCCACUCCCCCUGUCAUCCUAAGCUCAUUUGCACCUGCUACAGCACAAGAGGUUUCUGCUCUGCUCCUGUCCUCCCGCCCCACCACCUGCUCCCUCGAUCCUAUUCCCUCGCAUCUCAUCCGCACUUUGUCUCCCUCUCUUGCUCUUCCUCUCGCUAACAUUUUCAAUCUCUCCCUUUCCUCUGGCACAUUUCCCUCUGCCUUCAAACAUGCAACCAUAACCCCAAUUCUGAAAAAGCCCAACCUCGAUCCCAACUCCCCAUCCAACUACCGCCCUAUCUCACUACUGCCAUUUGCCUCCAAGAUCCUCGAGAGAGUUGUCUACGCCAGAUUGACAGACUUUCUUGAAUCCAACUCUCUGCUUGACCCCCUUCAGUCUGGAUUCCGCGCUGGUCACUCUGUCGAAACUGCUGUGACCAAAGUAUCCAACGAUUUAAUUGCUGCUAAAUCUCGCGGCCAAUACUCUAUCCUAAUCCUCCUUGAUCUCUCUGCCGCCUUUGACACUGUUGAUCAUCAACAGCUUCUUCACAUUCUCCGUAACUUUGGUCUACGGGAUUCUGCUCUCUCCUGGUGCUCCUCCUACCUCUCCCAGCGCUCCUUCAGUGUUUCUUUCUCUGGCUCUGCCUCUUCUCCCCAACCCCUCCCUGUCGGCGUCCCCCAAGGUUCUGUCCUCGGCCCCCUACUGUUCUCUAUCUAUACUGCCUCCCUUGGUAAACUCAUCAGCUCUUUU